AUGAGGUUAGCAUCACGUCUCUGUGUCACUUUCCUGUGGUGCCAAUUUCAAGCAGGAGAAAGGCCGUGCCUUCGACAGUCCCCAGGUCAGACGCCGUCCACUACUCGGGCAGACAGAGCACGCUCAUCUCCUCAGGGCCUGGACGUGUGUGGAGCCGGAAACCCAGCGAGGAAGGUGCGUCUCCACUGGGGAUCCACGUUGUGUUGUGCAGCAGCUGCUGACUGGCCCACUGUAUCCUUUUUCUCCAAGUUUUCCUACCACCAUCUACUAAUUGGUCUGUCUUUGCACUGCUCCUCUUACGACAUAUUUAUUAGAUUUACACAUAAUUGUAGGUACACAUGGGUGUGUGUAUACAGGUUUGUCUCUGAACUGCUCUGCUGUGCUGAUCUAUUCUACCCCCUCAUUGUCUCUUCUUGCACUAGCUCUGGGCUGUUAUCUUUUAUUACUGCAGCUUCAUGGAACAUCUUAAUAUUUAGACAUACAAAGCUCACUUAUUUGAUUGGUUUUUUGGUUUUUUUUUUUUCCAAAAUUGAGUUAUCUAUUUUGUCAUGUGAAUUUAAUGUGGGAUUUUUGUUGAGACUGCAGAGAUUUUAUAGAUUAAUUUGA
rnacentral:lncRNA from 1 species